AGUAACUAGAUUUACCAGAAACCAUAGAGCAGAGGGAGAUUGAUUAUUAUGGACCAUGUUCCAGUGCAUGGUCGACAGUACUUCACUGUUUCUGAUCAGCCUAGUGGAUGUGUUCGCACACCCGGCCUUCCUAUCAACACCAGCAGCUCGAUGUCAAAGGUGCUCGCGUGUGUAUGCUAAGUGUGGAUUCUGACAUCUUUCUUACAUUUCACCGUACCGGUACCGGUACCAUCACCUUCCUCCGCUCCAUGCACACACCGUGUCAGUGUCAGUCAGUCAGUUGAGACUUUGUGCAAGAUGCUUCCUACGCAUUAACCCUGAUUCAGGAAGAAGGUCAAAGGGGGAGGCAUCUAUGAGCCCAAAGGUCCUGGCUCUCAUCUCUCAUCAACAAGAUAUCGCAGACCAUGAGUGGAUGUAACAGUGAGGUGUAUGCAAACCAGCUGCAUUUAUAGUACUUUCUGAUGGUGCUUGAAGUUGAAAGUUGUAAACUUCCUAAAAAACUGUAAACACAAAAGUUGUAUGUGAUUUCUGAAAUAGUUAUUCUGAAAUAAAUGCUCUAAAUUUUAAACAAUUAGAAAUUGGUAGGCCAGGCAUUGUUUUUACUAUUUGUUUUAUUUUGAUGAAGUGUUUGGUGGAUUAUUGAAACAAAUACAACCAUUAUUAGAAUUUACAAAAAAAAGUUAAAAGUUGUAAAUUUCCUAACAAACUGAAAAUACAAAAGUUGUAUGUGAUUUCUGAAAUACUUGUUCUGAAAUGAGUGAUCUAAUUUGGAGCAAUGUGUAAUUGAUGAGCCAGGCAUUGUUUUUAUUACUAUUUGUUUUAUUUUGAUGAAAUGUUUGGUGGAUUAUUGAAACAAAUACCACCAUUAUUUGAAUUUAAACAAAUAUGGACUCAUGUGGACAAAAAGUUAAAAGUUGUUAACUUCCUUAUAGACGAAACUGCUUACACGCAUGCAAACGAACUUUUAAUGUAGAAGUUUCAUGUGAUUUUCGCAAUACUCAUUCUGAAACUAAUGCUCUAUUGAAAACAAUGUAAAAUUGUGAACCAGGCAUUUAUUUAUUUUUUGUAUUCUAUGGAGAUUGUGGUGGAUUAGUGAAAAAAAUACCACCAUAAAAUUGUUUUUGUUUUGUGUAUUGUUUAAUUCAUAAAGUUUGGUUGGAUUUGACCUGGCAGAAAUUCAACAAUUGAAAAGGCCUUGAAAUAUUGUGUUAUUAAAAUGUGUAUGUUUUUUUUACAGUGCUUCCAAGUUCGAAGAUAAAACAAUAAACCAGUUUUGUUCCUUGUUCAUGAAUUGACAGGUUUUAAUUAAA